UACAGAGGUCUCAAGCGUUUGUUCGGAUUCAUUGGGCGUAAAGGGUGUGUAGGUGGCGCCGUAAGUCGGGUGUGAAAUUUCGGAGCUUAACUUCGAAACUGCAUUCGAUACUGCCGUGCUUGAGGACUGGAGAGGAGACUGGAAUUUACGGUGUAGCGGUGAAAUGCGUAGAUAUCGUAAGGAAGACCAGUGGCGAAGGCGGGUCUCUGGACAGUCCGUCGACGCUGAGGCACGAAGGCCAGGGGAGGCGAAACGGG
rnacentral:rRNA from 1 species